UACGUAGGGACCAAGCGUUGUUCGGAUUUACUGGGCGUAAAGGGCGCGUAGGCGGCUUGACAAGUCACUUGUGAAAUCUCCGGGCUUAACUCGGAACGGCCAAGUGAAACUGUCAUGCUAGAGUGCAGAAGGGGCAAUCGGAAUUCUUGGUGUAGCGGUGAAAUGCGUAGAUAUCAAGAGGAGCACCUGAGGUGAAGACGGGUUGCUGGGCUGACACUGACGCUGAGGCGCGAAAGCCAGGGGAGCAAACGGG
rnacentral:rRNA from 1 species